rnacentral:lncRNA from 1 species
AUUUGAGAGCUGACACAUGUAGCACUACUGAGGGAAGGAGAAAUCAGUAUAAUUAAGCUAAACUGUUCUAAUCACCUUUCAGAAUUUUUCAUUCUUAGUAGUCUCCUGUUCCCACACUUGUGUUUUCUCUUCCAACACAUACAUACAUAUUUUGCUUCUGCAGUGUUACACCUCUCCCCAGGAACAGAAUAUAAUUAUUCCCAGUUCCCACUCCAAUUAUUCCUAAUAUCCCUUUUACAGUGUCACAAAUAAAGCUAUGUCACAUGUCUCACCCAGCCCUAAUUUUUCUGCAGCUCAUAUGACUCCAGAUAAUGCCAAAAAUAACAACAUAUGCUAUUUCUACAGAUCAAAGACAAAUGAGAUAUGUGUUUCAUUGGAAACUAGAUAAUGCAUAUAAUAGCAGUUAUGGUGUCCUUGGCUCCCUGGUCAUUGGAUUGGGGAAACAUUACUGGGAGGUAGAUCCUGGAGGUAUAAGAUGGAAAAUGCCCAGAAUACAUUAUGAAAUUUCAUGUUAGACAUGAUUAAAAUUAUCAACAUAGUUACUCUAGGUUUCAACCAAAUAUGACCACUGCAUUAAACGGUGAUGAAUCAACUUUAUAAUGCUUUUGAGGAGUCAUCCUUCUCUGAUCUCCUCAUCUUAAUCCUGACCCUGCCUGUCAUUCUCCAUAGGUUUUCCUAGACUAUGAGGCUGGCAUUGUCUUAUUUUUCAAUGUCACAAACUAUGGGUUUCUCAUCUAUACGUUCUUUUCAUUUUCCUCUUCUCAGGAAGCUUUUCCAUAUUUCAGCCCCAUGAAAUGGAAUGACCCCAUCAUGACUCUGCUCUCCAAGCUCUUGAACCUUCUUACAUCCCUACUCAUUUCUUUGUAGUGCCUCUUGCCUUGGGUGCAGCUGAUGCACUGAGCUUAUCUGCACCAUUCUCACCAUCUUUUCUUUGCUGCCUUCCUUCUCUCCAUUUGAACACCCUUCGUUCAGGAGAAUAUAUCAAAAAUAGUAAUUAAGAGUUUUGUGUCUAGAGUGUCUGGACAAUGUAAAGUAACCUUGAAUAAUGUACAUAAAUGCUGUGUUUAUUUUCUUAAAAUCAUCUUGAUGUAAAAACUGCACCAUACUUAGGAUUAUUGUGAGAAAAUAAAUUCAUUAAAUAUUAACAUAUAAGUGUUUCGAUUUUUUUUUUCAUUUUUUAAAAAAAAGAUCUAUUUAUUUGAGAGAAAGAGAGAAAGAGUUUGAGCAGGGAUAGAGGCAGAGGGAAAGGGAGAGAGAAAUUCCCAAGUAGACUUCCCACGGAGUACCAAGACCAACAUGGGGCUCAAUUUCACAAUCACUUUACGAUCUUAAAGCCACAGGGAUCUAGGAGGGCUGAUCCAUUUGCUUCUUGUACUUGUAAAUAUAUAGUGUUUCUGAUCCUCUGGUGAAAUUACCAGUGCUCUCUUCACUAUAUAAAGGAGGGUUGAAACUGGGCUGCUUGCCCAGUUCUACAACCUGAGUUCAUGACCUGAGUUAAAAUCAAGAGUCAGGUUAUUAACUAACUGAGCAACCAGGUGCCCCUGAGUCUCUAUUUAUUCAUAAAUAUUUGCUCCUAAAAAAUAUAAGCUGUGUCAGUGUCUCAUGAAAUUCUAUGGGAUUAAGUUUUCUCAUUUGAAAAAAA